rnacentral:rRNA from 1 species
UUUUAUUGAAGCUUCGGCAGAUUUAGCUGGUUUCUAGUGGCGGACGGGUGAGUAACGCGUGGGUAACCUGCCUUAUACAGGGGGAUAACAACCAGAAAUGGUUGCUAAUACCGCAUAAGCGCACAGGACCGCAUGGUCCGGUGUGAAAAACUCCGGUGGUAUAAGAUGGACCCGCGUUGGAUUAGCUAGUUGGCGGGGUAACGGCCUACCAAGGCGACGAUCCAUAGCCGGCCUGAGAGGGUGAACGGCCACAUUGGGACUGAGACACGGCCCAGACUCCUACGGGAGGCAGCAGUGGGGAAUAUUGCACAAUGGGGGAAACCCUGAUGCAGCGACGCCGCGUGAAGGAAGAAGUAUCUCGGUAUGUAAACUUCUAUCAGCAGGGAAGAUAGUGACGGUACCUGACUAAGAAGCCCCGGCUAACUACGUGCCAGCAGCCGCGGUAAUACGUAGGGGGCAAGCGUUAUCCGGAUUUACUGGGUGUAAAGGGAGCGUAGAUGGACUGGCAAGUCUGAUGUGAAAGGCGGGGGCUCAACCCCUGGACUGCAUUGGAAACUGUUAGUCUUGAGUGCCGGAGAGGUAAGCGGAAUUCCUAGUGUAGCGGUGAAAUGCGUAGAUAUUAGGAGGAACACCAGUGGCGAAGGCGGCUUACUGGACGGUAACUGACGUUGAGGCUCGAAAGCGUGGGGAGCAAACAGG